rnacentral:rRNA from 5 species
CUGCCAGUGAUAAACUGGAGGAAGGUGGGGAUGACGUCAAGUCAUCAUGGCCCUUACGACCAGGGCUACACACGUGCUACAAUGGCGCAUACAAAGAGAAGCGACCUCGCGAGAGCAAGCGGACCUCAUAAAGUGCGUCGUAGUCCGGAUUGGAGUCUGCAACUCGACUCCAUGAAGUCGGAAUCGCUAGUAAUCGUGGAUCAGAAUGCCACGGUGAAUACGUUCCCGGGCCUUGUACACACCGCCCGUCACACCAUGGGAGUGGGUUGCAAAAGAAGUAGGUAGCUUAACCUUCGGGAGGGCGCUUACCACUUUGUGAUUCAUGACUGGGGUGAAGUCGUAACAAGGUAACCGUAGGGGAACCUGCGGUUGGA